rnacentral:rRNA from 1 species
UACGAAGGGGGCUAGCGCUGCUCGGAAUCACGGGACGUAAAACGCACGUCGGCGGCUUUCUAAGUCAGGGGUGAAAUCCCGGAGCGCAACUCCGGAACUGCCUUUGAUACUGGGAGGCUCGAGUCCGGGAGAGGUGAGUGGAACUGCGAGUGUAGGGGUGAAAUUCGUAGAUAUUCGCAAGAACACCAGUGGCGAAGGCGGCUCACUGGCCCGGUACUGACGCUGAGGUGCGAAAGCGUGUCGAGCAAAAAGG